GAAUCAACUGACCGAAGAUGAAUUCAGUGUCAUGACUGAUGCAGUGGAACUAACUAAAAGAGAGAGAGAGAGAGCAGUUGUUCUCCUUGGCCUGGCCCAUUUCCAGAAAGAGGAUCCCUCCCAAUUCUUCAAGAUUUGUAAGAGGAGGAUCCUCAACGCCCUGUCCCCAAGGAGAUGAUUGAUAUUGCACUGAUUCUGGAGAAGCAUAUCGUUCU